GAACACUCUUGACUCUGCUUCGGAUUCCCCAGUGAUAAUUGUAUCGAGUGAUGAAAGAGCUGACGGCGACAUUUUAAUGUAUGAUUGGCUUGGACCAUUGGAAUGAAGUCAUUUCAUGGUGCCACCACUUGGGAUGGUAUUAGCUGCAAAUAUAGACUUGUACUUAGCACUUAUUGCCUUUAAGAAGUAUGAGAUCCAUUUUGUGCUAACACCUACCGUGACAUAGAAUCUUGGUUUAUGCAGUCUCAUAGGAGUAACCUGUCUAAAGCAUUUAGCAAUGGAAUUGGAACCUGCGACGUGUGACUCAUCUGAAUACUGAAUUUUGAUACCAAGCAUGACCAUGAUUUGCCAGAAGAUCAUCUGUUUGGAUGUGACAUGGAAUAAACAGCAUAGUGAAAAUAAGUCAAGUUUUGGUUUGUGACGACAACUUUUAAACACAUUGUGUAUCAUUUUUAAAUUUUGAUUUGACAACAUAAAUCCACAAAUAUGAACAUAUCAAUUGCUCUCAGUUUUUCAAGUGAAAUAGUUUUUGUAACAGAAAUACAUGUACCAGUAAUUACAUUGGAAUAAAUGUUAUUUUUAAAUAUAAUAAUAUUUUGUUUGUGUUGCAUGUUGACCUCUUUAUUAAGGUCUUCCCUUUCAA